rnacentral:misc_RNA from 1 species
CAAAUGAGUGAUUCAGUUCUUAGUUGUCAAGCAGGAUAAGUGAACACUCAACACAACCACAUGGCUUACUGCACCUGUAAGUCAAGAGUGAAGAAAAAUGUUAAAUGAAUUUGUGUUUCCUAAUGUAUGCAGGCUGUGAUCAAGCUUUCCAUCCAAAAAUCACCUAAAAUUCAUCAUGCUUGGAAAUCUAGCUUGAGGCGCCAACCUGUUAAUUGGAUGCAAUUUCAAAAUCCAAAUCCUGUAGUUCUUCAGUUGGGCAGAAACCUGAAAGAGAAAGUUCUGAAGUAACAACGAGAUUUACGGUAGAAUAAGCCUUCACUCAUUAUGUGCCCAAAACCUGAUUUGUGCCGCUAGACAAAUUCGUUAUCACAACAGUUGGCUAUAGCAAGUUAGCAACCCCAGCAUGCCCCAUUAAUUUGGGUCUACCCCACACUUCUGUAGUGUUAGGCAUAUGGUAGAUAAACAAACACCAAAUCCAAGCCGCAAAGUCUGAUCAUCAACUGCUUCUUUCAGCAUCUCACAUUAAGCUUUCCAUAAGUUCCAACUUAGGAAAAAUGGUGUUUUUGAAG